GCUAAAAAUCUAGCCAUACUUAAUCUUAUGCCCCCUCCCCCCAUAGCAAACUAAAACUAAAACAUUAACCACUCUUAGUAAAGGCGAUUAAAAAAUUAAUUAGAGCUAUAACCUUAGUACCGCAAGGAAAAGAUGAAAUAAAAAUGAAAUAAACUUUAAGCCCAAAAAAGCAGAGCUUUAUACUCGUACCUUUUGCAUCAUGGUUUAACUAGUCUACUCAAGCAAAAAGAAUUAUAGUUUGACCCCCCGAAACUAGACGAGCUACUUCGAGGCAGCUUAAUGAGCGAACCCAUCUCUGUUGCAAAAGAGUGGGAUGACCCCCAAGUAGCGGUGACAGACCUAACGAGCCUAGUGAUAGCUGGUUACUUAACAAAAGGAUUUUAGUCCUGCCUAAAGCAUUAUCAAUUAUACCAAAUAACCUACAUGCUUUUGAGUUAUUCAAAUAAGGUACAGCCUGUUUGAAGCCAGGGUACAACCUCCUCUAAAGGGUAACUUCUGUAUAAACAGAACCAAGUAGGCUCAAAAGCAGCCACCUUUAAAAUAGCGUCAAAGCUUAUUUUUAUAGCAAUUUUAAUACCUCAACAUCUUUUAAACCCUUUAUCUUUAUUAAGUUAAUCUAUAUACUUAUAGAAGCGAUCAUGUUAAAACUAGUAAUAAGAAGAAGACCUUCUCUUAAAUGCAUCUGUACAUCAGAAAGGACAAACCACUGAUAAUUAUAACGCAAUUGAGUAUAAAACAGCAACCACCCAAGAAAAUUCUAUUUUACUUAACGUUAACCUAACACCAGAGCAUUUCAAGAAAGAUUAAAAGAAAAAGAAGGAAUUCGGCAAAUAUUAACCUCGCCUGUUUACCAAAAACAUCGCCUCUCGAUAAACCAUGAGAGGUCCAGCCUGCCCAGUGACCAAGUUUAACGGCCGCGGUAUCCUAACCGUGCGAAGGUAGCGUAAUCACUUGUUCUUUAAAUGAGGACUAGUAUGAAUGGCACCACGAAGGCUAUACUGUCUCCUUUUUCUAAUCAAUGAAACUGAUCUCCCCGUGAAGAAGCGGGGAUAAAAAUAUAAGACGAGAAGACCCUAUGGAGCUUAAAACUAAGUGGCACUAGUUCCUGUAUUAAAACUUUAAGAAUCACUUCAGCUAUUUUGACCACUAGUUUUAGGUUGGGGUGACCGCGGAGCACAAAACAACCUCCGCAUUGAAUGGAGCCACUCCUGAGCAAAAAACUACGACUUUAAGCACCAACAAAUUGACAUUAAUUGACCCAUUAUUUUGAUCAAUGAACCAAGUUACCCUAGGGAUAACAGCGCAAUCCACUUCAAGAGCCCAUAUCGACAAGUGGGUUUACGACCUCGAUGUUGGAUCAGGGUGUCCUAGUGGUGCAGCCGCUACUAACGGUUCGUUUGUUCAACGAUUAAAACCCU
rnacentral:rRNA from 1 species